rnacentral:rRNA from 1 species
AGUGAACGCUGGCGGUAGGCCUAACACAUGCAAGUCGAACGGCAGCACAGUAAGAGCUUGCUCUUACGGGUGGCGAGUGGCGGACGGGUGAGGAAUACAUCGGAAUCUACUUUUUCGUGGGGGAUAACGUAGGGAAACUUACGCUAAUACCGCAUACGACCUACGGGUGAAAGCAGGGGAUCUUCGGACCUUGCGCGAUUGAAUGAGCCGAUGUCGGAUUAGCUAGUUGGCGGGGUAAAGGCCCACCAAGGCGACGAUCCGUAGCUGGUCUGAGGGGAUGAUCAGCCACACUGGAACUGAGACACGGUACAGACUCCUACGGGAGGCAGCAGUGGGGAAUAUUGGACAAUGGGCGCAAGCCUGAUCCAGCCAUACCGCGUGGGUGAAGAAGGCCUUCGGGUUGUAAAGCCCUUUUGUUGGGAAAGAAAAGCAGCAGGUUAAUACCCCGCUGUUCUGACGGUACCCAAAGAAUAAGCACCGGCUAACUUCGUG